CCAGGUGCGGCACCUGGAGGUGAGCAGCGCUUCCAUGGCGGAGGAUCUGUGCCGGAAGAGCGCCAUCAUCGAGAGCUUCGUGAGGGACAGCCGGCUGGAAGCUGCAGGACCCCCCGUAGCCCCCCGGCGUGGGGCGGGGCCGGGUGAGGAGGGGCUGCGGGAGAUGAACAAAAAGCUGCAGAACCUCCUGGAGGAGCAGCUGACCAAAAACCUGCACAUGAGCCAGGACCUGGAGAUGCUCUCCCAGGAGCUGGCGCGGCUCCGCAAUGAGGGGGCUCCGCCGUGAGCGACCGCCACGCCCUCCCCCCAGUGGGCGGGGUCAGCCGAGGUCCCGCCCGCUCCCCGCUGCUGUACAAAUUUCUGCUGCUCGGGCCCUCCGCGGUGCUGUGGCCGCUUUAAGGGGCGUUGCCCUUUUGAUGGGGCGGAGCAUGCAACCCCCGUUCCCUCCCCCGCCUCAAUAAAGUGCUCCAAUCCGCUGUCGAUGCGUCAUUGGGGGGCGGGGCUUGGCGGGGCUGUGUCUGAGCGGCGUCCGCAUGCGCCGCGUUGCCAUCGUGCCCUCCCUGUGACGCCACUUCCGGGCAGCAACCCGGAUGUUGUUGCCGCCGCGGUGGCCGCAGGACGGGGACGCGCUCGGCGCAGCGCUCCGGAUACCCCCGAACUCCGCUCCACAGCCGGGGGGCCCGCGCCGUGACGUCAGCGCGGUGACGUAUAACACUUCCCCGUUCCUUUCCCUCCGCCGGGCGGCGGCGGCCCCACGGCCGCCUCCAUGGCGGCCCCGGGGGGCGGGGCCUGCACGGACGAGGAGUGCGAGAAGACCGAAGGGCCGCAGCCGCCCGAGUUCCGCUCGUUUGCCGUGGACCCGCAGAUCACCUCGCUGGACGUCCUGCAGCACAUCCUGGCUCGCGCCUUCGACCUGCAAGGGAGGAGGAACUUCGCUCUCAGCUUCGCAGCCCGUGACGCUCAGGGCCGGGAGAGCUUCAUGCCGCUGCUCAGCGAUGGCGACUUGGCGGCUGCUUUCACCACCGCCCGACCCGC
rnacentral:lncRNA from 1 species